UGGCUCAGCGGUUAAGAGCACUGGCUGCUCUUCCAGAAGACCUGGGUUCAAUUCCCAG
rnacentral:tRNA from 1 species